UUGAGUCUGAGAAGUAUUUCUG
rnacentral:miRNA from 1 species